CAGCCUACUGAAUUAGAAACUGAGGAUGGAGCCCAGAGUCUGAACAAGCCUCCCAAGUGAUUCUGAUACUCAAUAAGUUGUGAGAGCACUCUUUUAGAACAGGACCUGGCUUCGUAGAAGAUCCUGACCCGGAGUACCCUGGUUUGGAUGACAAAUGAUAUGGAUACCCCAUGUGACGACUAAGAAAACUUGCACAACGGGACACCGUUGGUGAGAAAAAACGUGGUCAGUGUCAUACAGACCUGGGGGUGUUUCCUGAUCCCACCACCACCUGGAGCAUCGUGCCCUUGAGCAAGUCAUUCAGACUCUGUGUGAAAGAAUGGCCAUCUCUGUACCUCCUCAUCAGCACCGACUCUUGAAAAAUCACCGCUAGGCGACAUGGUCACAACACUGAACAAGAUAGGUAUUUAUUUUAAGGAGCUCAUCCUACUAAAGAUGCAGGCAAGGAAUCAAAUCCUGCAGAGAAAUAUAUAUCCUUUCACUGCUGUUUUAUCACAAGCUGGACAAGAUAGUGAAUUAUGGAAGUCCUGUACAACCAUACUGUGCUGGUUGCUCAGAGAGGAGGCAUCUACACUAAGGAGCAAGAGUGCCAAGCCAAUUCAAUGGGAGAAAGAUUAGUCUUUUCAACAAAUGAUGCUGGGACAAAUGGAUAUCCACAUGCAGAAGAAUGAAAUUGGACCCCUACCACACACCGUAUACAAAAAUGAACUCUAAAUGGAUUAGGGAAAUAAAUCUAACUACUAGAAAUAUAAACUCUUAGAAAAAACACUGGGAAAAGUCUUCAUGGCAGUGGACUUGGUAAUGAUUUCUUGGCCAUGACACUAAAAGGACAUUGAAUUGUACACUUUACAUGGAUGAAUUGAUGAUAUAUGAA